UCUCUAUGAUGUCAAUAGAUGAUGAGACUGAUAUAUCCAUUCUUAACCUUGAUGAUAAUUGAGGCAUUUGUCUGAGAGGA